rnacentral:rRNA from 1 species
GGCGGCAUGCCUUACACAUGCAAGUCGAACGGCAGCACGGGUGCUUGCACCUGGUGGCGAGUGGCGAACGGGUGAGUAAUAUAUCGGGAACGUACCUUAUCGUGGGGGAUAACGCAGCGAAAGCUGCGCUAAUACCGCAUACGCCCUGAGGGGAAAGCGGGGGACCGUAAGGCCUCGCGCGAUUAGAGCGGCCGAUAUCUGAUUAGCUUGUUGGUGGGGUAAAAGCCCACCAAGGCGGCGAUCAGUAGCUGGUCUGAGAGGACGAUCAGCCACACUGGGACUGAGACACGGCCCAGACUCCUACGGGAGGCAGCAGUGGGGAAUUUUGGACAAUGGGCGAAAGCCUGAUCCAGCCAUGCCGCGUGAGUGAAGAAGGCCUUCGGGUUGUAAAGCUCUUUCGGCUGGGAAGAAAUCGCACAGGCUAAUACUCUGUGUGGAUGACGGUACCAGCACAAGAAGCACCGGCUAACUACGUG